AAAGGGCGUGUGGGGAGGACUGGGCCAUAGCUCCCGUCUCAGGCCCCCCACCGGGCCUUGAAGCUCAGUUUCUGUUUCUAACCCAGUGCCAGGCCCUUGAGCACGGCUGUACUCACCCUAGCAAUCUGGCGACGGCCGUGGCCCACAGGACACUUCCUGCUUAGCUUCUGUUUUCCUGUGACCCCCAGAAUGUCACCUGGCAAGGCUCAACAUUCCUGCCUGGGACUGAGCGGCUCGAAUCCCUUGUGUGUGUCACAGACAGUUUUCAGCUGUGGUGGGAAAGCACUGAGUGAAGAGGAAGUACCAGGUCCUGAUGAGGCUCAGCAUCUCGGGCAGGGAGCUGGGAGGAGCGGGGAGAAACGGCGAGAAGGCUCUAAAGGUCAGCUGCAGUGUCCCCCAGUUUUCCUGCACCUUCUCAACAAAUUCCAGCUGACCCACUAAUAGCUUUAGAAAACUUGACCUUCUGUAAAAAUGAAGAAACUAAAAUUGCAGCCCUGCCUGUAGCUUGGAAGCUGUGGAAGCAUGACACCAUGAUGAGGCAGUCCGGGGAGGGCGCCAAAGCAAAACAGAACCGGCAGUGGAAAUUUUACGCCACAAAAGGUUAGUGGGCUGGGUUGAAUGUGGGUAAGAUCUCAUAGGAUCUUAGAUCCAGUGCAUUUUCUAACAGCAGAUUUCAGUAAGAAGGGUUGUCAGUACACCUCAGUCUGGAGUUGGACUUGGGGCAGAGAGCUACUACUUUUCUUUCCAGGGAAGCCCUAAUGAGAAAUGAAUCAAUUCCUCUUCUCCAAUGAUCUAUCCCACAUCCCCUCCUGGACCAACCUACCUAAAACAGGACCCCACUCCUCCAUUCAGAAAACUAAUCACAUCAUGUAAGAACUUUUAAGGGUGACCUACUGUGUAGUCAAUCAGGUACACAUUCCUUUGCCCGGUUAUUUAAAAAUCCUACAUAAUUUAGCCGCGCCCCACCCAUCCACUGGUGCUCUCCCACACACAUCUGCUAAUCUAGUCGGGCUGCCCUUCUCACUGUCCCCAGAGAGCUUACUCAUUGCUGCCUUUGUGUUUCCAUACCCAGUAUUCUUCACUUUCAACCCUGGAUCUUAAUAUACUCUUCCUCUUUAACAGUCCCCUGAAGACCCCACCUUCGGAGAGUUUGCCAACUAUUUCGGUUUUCACCUCUCCCAUCUCCAAGUACUCAUCAAGUCACACAUGUGUAUAUACACACUUUGCCUCUCCAACUACACUGUAAGCCACCAUGAAUAUGAAUUUUAUGUUACAGUGCCCCACAUAAAGUGUACUCAAUAAAUAACUGUUGUUUAAUUGCA